rnacentral:misc_RNA from 1 species
UAACAAAGCCAUGAACCAAAAUAAAAUGUAUGAAACGCCUCCUCCUGGCUUUUUACAACAAAGGGUCAUCAUAAGAUGUUCCUAAACCAAAAAUUGGACGUAACAUGGCAACAACAAUCGCCAUCUCUCCUUGAAAUUGCACAGAUGAACUUGAAAGCUCAAACCUGUCAUAAACCUUGCUUAUGCAGCAUCAUCUUUACCUUCCACUUACGGAAUUCGGAUCCUCAUUUACCAAUGCGAAGCUCUUCUCCCCCAAACUCUUCAUCUGACCUGAGUUGAGAUUCAAAAAA